GAGGCUUCUUUCUGAGAUUAAUUUGGCAGAAACCGAUUCACUUAAGUGUAGAGGAGGAGCAACCCAAGCACUAAGUUGAUGGUACUAUUUUUGUCUUUUGUCCAUUUUGAAAUUGUACAAUGGCUUCCAAGACCUACAGAGAACAAGUCUUUCAUUUUUCUUGCAUAGCAGUUGAAUUUCAAUUACUUAUACACACACACUUUCAUGGUCAUGCAUGUAUUUGAGGUUGAGGGGACAACCUAGAUUUGAGGCACGAACAUAAUUUCUUGCAUCAAAUAAGUUUUUAUAUUCAAAUAAUAAAAAAUAAAUUGAUGAACAACUAUGGGUGAAAGUCGAUGAG
rnacentral:misc_RNA from 1 species